AACUCGCAGAAAUCACUAAACUCAGCAGCUCUAUUGGCAGUUCUAACAUCUGUUCUGCUCUCUUAGCAGCUACCAUGAUGAUUCUGGGCAGCUCCAGUGAUGGUGAAAGGUCUCAGCUUCAGCCAAGCAGCAGCAGCAGCCUAACUUCUU